UGGAACAAUCCAGGGCAGCCUUGCAGAUGGAGCCAGGUAAUAACAGGAGAGUUCACAAAGAGAUGAAGCUUCUCACCAGGCCCAGAAGGUUGAGGAAGAGGUCAUGAUAGCCCUGACUUGAGUCUGGCUACUGAGUAUCGGAACUAAAGGCACCUGACCUUUCUUCAUCCACCCGUCUUCCUGUCCCAAAUAACAAUCCACUCCCAGAGUACUUGAUGCCAGCUAAGUGCUUACCUAAUUAAAAUCACCCCACUCCAGAGAAUA